rnacentral:rRNA from 1 species
AGAGUUUGAUCAUGGCUCAGGACGAACGCUGGCGGCGUGCUUAACACAUGCAAGUCGAACGAUGAACCACUUCGGUGGGGAUUAGUGGCGAACGGGUGAGUAACACGUGGGCAAUCUGCCCUGCACUCUGGGACAAGCCCUGGAAACGGGGUCUAAUACCGGAUACUGACCCGCUUGGGCAUCCAAGCGGUUCGAAAGCUCCGGCGGUGCAGGAUGAGCCCGCGGCCUAUCAGCUUGUUGGUGAGGUAAUGGCUCACCAAGGCGACGACGGGUAGCCGGCCUGAGAGGGCGACCGGCCACACUGGGACUGAGACACGGCCCAGACUCCUACGGGAGGCAGCAGUGGGGAAUAUUGCACAAUGGGCGAAAGCCUGAUGCAGCGACGCCGCGUGAGGGAUGACGGCCUUCGGGUUGUAAACCUCUUUCAGCAGGGAAGAAGCGAAAGUGACGGUACCUGCAGAAGAAGCGCCGGCUAACUACGUGCCAGCAGCCGCGGUAAUACGUAGGGCGCGAGCGUUGUCCGGAAUUAUUGGGCGUAAAGAGCUCGUAGGCGGCUUGUCGCGUCGGUUGUGAAAGCCCGGGGCUUAACCCCGGGUCUGCAGUCGAUACGGGCAGGCUAGAGUUCGGUAGGGGAGAUCGGAAUUCCUGGUGUAGCGGUGAAAUGCGCAGAUAUCAGGAGGAACACCGGUGGCGAAGGCGGAUCUCUGGGCCGAUACUGACGCUGAGGAGCGAAAGCGUGGGGAGCGAACAGGAUUAGAUACCCUGGUAGUCCACGCCGUAAACGGUGGGCACUAGGUGUGGGCGACAUUCCACGUCGUCCGUGCCGCAGCUAACGCAUUAAGUGCCCCGCCUGGGGAGUACGGCCGCAAGGCUAAAACUCAAAGGAAUUGACGG